AAAGAGAUGCCCGAAUGCUCGUGGAAAGUGAGCAGCCUGCUCUGUCGGCAUGUCCGUACGGUGACAUAUUAAAAGAAAUGAAUGAAAGAUAAGUGCAUGGGGACAAACACCAGUGCUCGGGAAGCUGAGCCACACGCUAGCUGUGUCCGUGCAGAGAUCCGGGCCGCAGCUGCGCUUGCUGUUGGGCGUUCGUCGGCGCGCUGGCCGUUGCUGCGCUGUCCGCCUUCGUCGUCUGCAUGGCUCUCGGGGUCGUGAGCAUCAAGCUGCACUACGUGACAGCCGAGGCCAGGAAGGGCGACGCGACCACCUCUUCUGCGAGCGAGAGCGGCAGCGACAAAGCGCUGCAGACGAACCCUGCGGCGAAGACUGCGCGCGUCGAAGGGAACGCGCCGACGACGGCGGCCGCCAAAAGGCGCAACCCGGGAGACGAGCGCGUCCCUGAUCCUCGCCUGAUCUGAGGACUUCCGGUGCCGCACCUUCCGAUGUGCGAAGGCGCUAGGCUUAUUUUCCUUCUCUGAUUUCGCCAUUUAAACAUGCGAUGCUUAAAGUAAGGAGGAGGACGUGGGCAAGAAACAAAGGCGAGCCCAGAAGAGACGACGACACAAGAUUUCGUAGCCACCUGGAAUACAUGCUCAUAAAUCUUACGUGACUGAA